rnacentral:rRNA from 1 species
CGAACGGGUGAGUAACACGUGAGUAACCUGCCCCCUUCUUCUGGAUAACCGCAUGAAAGUGUGGCUAAUACGGGAUAUUCUGGGUCUGUCGCAUGGCGGGCUCGGGAAAGAUAUUGUUUCGGUGGGGGAUGGGCUCGCGGCCUAUCAGCUUGUUGGUGGGGUGAUGGCCUACCAAGGCGGUGACGGGUAGCCGGCCUGAGAGGGUGGACGGUCACACUGGGACUGAGACACGGCCCAG